AUGAGUGUUGCUAGGCAACCGCCCGCCAUGAGAGCCUGUGCAUUUUCCAGCCAAUCAAAUUACUGAAUGUAUUUUCAAACUGUGGAAAGGAAAGGAAAGGAAAGAGGAUAUCACUUUUUUCCCCCUUCUUCAACUAUGGGGUUCAUACUUUGCAGGUUCCUGUGUCCCUCCCCCCCUUCGGUCCCCCUGUGUGCGAGUCCCUCAUCUCAGCUUUGGUUGCUGUGCAGAUGGUUCUUUGUUGAUGCUUCACAAUGGGUCUAAGGUCAGUGUGCCUCAUGCCAUCUACACACUCAAACUUCUCCACUCCAGCUGUCUCUAGCUUUUUUUGUAGUUUAUCUAAAAUGUUUCUCUAUCGAGCAUCAGGUCUGCUUAUGUGUACAUGGUUAUAUUGUGGUGAAUUAAGAGGAAGUUAUAAAACCGCAGAUGUAGCGUAGGGGUAGUCUGGACCUCUCAGGCUGUAAACACGUUAACAGAUAUCAUCUUGUUUUCCAUAUCUGAGCCACACCUUCUGUGUAAUCUCUAAAGCUCUUGUCACAUUUCUCGAUUCUUGAUUCUUACAUGUGUCAGUUGCCGGCAACCUUUGGAACAUGUGACAUCUCCGAAACAAACCAGACGCCAGAAUAUCAGAUCAGCCAGAGAAAUAGAAAUGCAAAUCUACCAUCUGUUCUCUGAUCUCAAACCAACCCUUGUUCAUCAUUCAAGAGCUAAUGUUAUAGUUACAUAUUGCUUUACCCUUAAUAGAUAGUAACAAGAUACAAUGUACUAUCAAAAUAGUACACAGAAAGGAAGUAAGAAAGGGUUGUGUGGCUCAAUAUCAGUACAAAUGACACAUUUAAAAAAGCAUUUAACUUACUUAUGCACUUUUGGUUUAAUAAUCUUUCAUCCAAACAGAAUAGAGAUUAACACUGAUCUUUAACAACUUUAAGACAAGGAUCAUAUAUCUGUGGCAACAUACAUUUGAUUUGUAAAACAAUGAUGAGGCCAGAAACAUAAAAAAGAUGUUGUGUUUGUCUGUCUAUCUAAGUAAAAUCUUCAGGGCACUACAAGGUUCAGCAGCAGAGGGCCAUGAGGUCUUCAGGCCAGUCUGCAGCAGAAAGGAGCAGGUAGAGUGAAAGGCGGGAAACUGAAAGGAGGAGGAGCAUUUCUUGCGAAGCAGUAGGGAUUACUGGAAAUUUCCACUUUUCUCUGGCAAGGCAGUUGCAGGGGUGGAGCUAAGAGGUGAAAUAAAUAAGGUAGUACAGCUGAGGUUGAACUGAAGUAGUGCAGAAGGGAAACUUUUGCUACUCUGUCAAAAACAGUUUAUAGCGUGACCACAUAAUAUUACAGUUUCCUUAGUUAUUAUAACGUUUUAUUAAUUACAGUCCCUUUUGAUGUAUAGUUUCAUGUAUUUUUUAAUACCACAUUUUGUUUGAUUUUUUUUUCACUUAUAUCCAUCCGAUCACUGAUACCUGUGUCUCUAUUAAUGUAUCACUGUGUUCAAUUAUGCACCCUCAUUAUACACUACAUCAAUGUAAUAAAAUGCCACAACAUGGCCACAAUAAGUUGUUGAAUAAUUCUUGUGUGUUUGUAUUUUUUGGAUAAGAAUUCAGUACUAAAUAAAUAAAGAAUAAAUGGAU